AAAACUUGUUUUAUGCGCGGUAGAGGAGCGUUCCGUAAGCCUGCGAAGGUGGAUUGAGAAGUCUGCUGGAGGUAUCGGAAGUGCGAAUGCUGACAUGAGUAACGAUAAUGCGGGUGAAAAGCCCGCACGCCGAAAGCCCAAGGUUUCCUUGCGCAACGUUAAUCGACGCAGGGUUAGUCGGUCCCUAAGGCGAGGGCGAAAGCCGUAGUCGAUGGGAAGCAGGUUAAUAUUCCUGCACCUCGCGUGAGUGCGAUGGAGGGACGGAGAAGGUUAGGUGUACCGGGCGUUGGUUGUCCCGGGGAAAGGCGGUAGGUUUGGAUCUUUGGCAAAUCCGGGAUCCUUUAAGACCGAGCACCGAGACGAGCCUUUAUGGCGAAGUCACUGAUACCACGCUUCCAGGAAAAGCUCCUAAGCUUCAGCUCACGAAGACCGUACCGUAAACCGACACAGGUGGGUAGGAUGAGAAUUCUCAGGCGCUUGAGAGAACUCGGGUGAAGGAACUAGGCAACAUGGCACCGUAACUUCGGGAGAAGGUGCACCCUUUUUGGUGGCUCAUGCGAGCUAUAGCUGAAGAGGGUCGCAGAAACCAGGCCGCUGCGACUGUUUAUCAAAAACACAGCACUCUGCAAACACGAAAGUGGACGUAUAGGGUGUGACGCCUGCCCGGUGCUGGAAGGUUAAUUGAUGGGGUCAGCCGCAAGGCGAAGCUCUUGAUCGAAGCCCCAGUAAACGGCGGCCGUAACUAUAACGGUCCUAAGGUAGCGAAAUUCCUUGUCGGGUAAGUUCCGACCUGCACGAAUGGCGUAACGACAGCGGCGCUGUCUCCACCCGAGACUCAGUGAAAUUGAAAUCGCUGUGAAGAUGCAGCGUUCCCGUGGCAAGACGGAAAGACCCCGUGAACCUUUACUAUAGCUUUACACUGAACGUUGAGUUCGUCUGUGUAGGAUAGGUGGGAGGCUAUGAAACUGUGGCGCUAGCUGCAGUGGAGCCAUCCUUGAAAUACCACCCUGUCGUGCUUGACGUUCUAACCUAGAUCCGUUAUCCGGAUCAGGGACCGUGUAUGGUGGGUAGUUUGACUGGGGCGGUCUCCUCCUAAAGAGUAACGGAGGAGCACGAAGGUACGCUCAGCGCGGUCGGACAUCGCGCACUGUGUGCAAAGGCAUAAGCGUGCUUGACUGCAAGAUCGACGGAUCAAGCAGGUACGAAAGUAGGUCUUAGUGAUCCGGUGGUUCUGUAUGGAAGGGCCAUCGCUCAACGGAUAAAAGGUACUCCGGGGAUAACAGGCUGAUACCGCCCAAGAGUUCAUAUCGACGGCGGUGUUUGGCACCUCGAUGUCGGCUCAUCACAUCCUGGGGCUGUAGUCGGUCCCAAGGGUAUGGCUGUUCGCCAUUUAAAGUGGUACGCGAGCUGGGUUCAGAACGUCGUGAGACAGUUCGGUCCCUAUCUGCCAUGGGCGUUGGAAGUUUGAGAGGGGCUGCUCCUAGUACGAGAGGACCGGAGUGGACGAACCUCUGGUGUUCCGGUUGUCACGCCAGUGGCAUUGCCGGGUAGCUAUGUUCGGAAGCGAUAACCGCUGAAAGCAUCUAAGCGGGAAGCGCGCCUCAAGAUGAGACUUCCCGGGGCACAAGCCCCCUAAAGGAACCAUAUAGACUAUGUGGUUGAUAGGUCAGGUGUGUAAGUACAGCAAUGUAUUGAGCUAACUGAUACUAAUGAUCCGUGCGGCUUGACC
rnacentral:rRNA from 1 species